GAUCAUGGCUCAGGAUGAACGCUAGCUACAGGCUUAACACAUGCAAGUCGAGGGGAAACGACAUCGAAAGCUUGCUUUUGAUGGGCGUCGACCGGCGCACGGGUGAGUAACGCGUAUCCAACCUGCCCAUCACUUGGGAAUAACCUUGCGAAAGUAAGACUAAUGCCCAAUGAUAUCCCACGAAGGCAUCCGGAUGGGAUUUAAAGAUUUAUCGGUGAUGGAUGGGGAUGCGU
rnacentral:rRNA from 1 species